rnacentral:lncRNA from 1 species
AUUCUCUUUGUCUUAGCAUUUACCUAAACAUGUCUCACAAAGGUCCUUGCUAGCAGCGAAAACCGUCACAAAACCUUAUCUUUUCUCUUGAUGACCUCACACAACUUUCAUCAUGUGAAGAUGUCAUGAUGUAAGUUGUUAAAUCAACUACACAAGAACUAUUUGGUGAGACUCCACCGAUCCAUAAAAUAACUCCAUCUAAGGCAAUACUACCCACCAUUCCAACUAUUACCCCUUAGGCAAAUUUUACAGGCAAUGAGGCAAAAGACCAUAAGGAGCCAUCCAACUGAUCAUGUCAUUAAGGUCACUUAUGUAUAAAGAUCAUUGUCUUUUUUGUUAAGGACUCCUACCUUCUGUCAACUACUCUCCUUAUGCUUAUCAUAUCACAAUCUGUAGCUAUCAUGUAUCUCUUCUCUCCUAUCUCCUCCUUUGUAGUUAUCCACAUCAUGAGUUGUAUUAUAUAUACUACAUAUCAUAAUUAGGAAUGGAAGAGCAUAACUUUUCUAUCAACUGGUUCAACCAGAACAUGGUUUCAAAGCCUUGAAAGGAAAAAUACAAUGUCUACUACAAAUGACAAGCAACUCUCCACCACCGCCUCACUCAUCAACCUCACUAUAACUAAUCACUCAUUUGCCAUAAAACUAAACACCAUAAAUUAUCUGGCAUGGAAGGCACAGUUCAUCCCUAUUCUCAACUACCAAAAUCUCAUGGGUCUCAUUAAUGGUAGUAAACUAGCCAC